AUCGCUAGGCAACCGCGGCGGCGUCGGUGUCGGCACCUGCCUUCCGCCUCUAGAGAGAAAGGGGCGGAGCUAAACCAAAGGAAGGGAGGGAGCUAGAAAGCGGCUGCAGGCAGGUUUCCGCGGUGCUAUCCCACUGGCUGAGGUCGCCAAGGCAGUAUUUCCAGCACCUAAAACGUGCCUGGAACUUAGUAGGCACUCGAUGAACAUUUGUCCAUUGAACGAACAAACGGAAGAAGCCAUACCUCAUUGCCCUCAGCUUCCCUUUUUAUGUUACAUUAAAGAGCCACAAGGGGGCUGUACAUCACUCCAUAACAAACAAGGAGCCAGCAAACCCACGUGGUCCACCCUCCGACGCCUGUCCUUACAGGAACGCCGAGAAUUGCAUAUUGAACAUUUCAAAUUUCAGACAAGACAUGUGUGUGUCUUAUCUCCACAAUUACUUAGAGCAAUCUGAAAUUAGGGACUAUGGAAAUUCUUUAAAGUGCCUGAUAAAGAUUUCUAGAAAGAAAAAAAAAAAGGAGACGUUUGUUCAUAAUAGAAGCUAAAAGAUGUUAAAGAAAAAUGCAUGACACAGGACGUGCUCGAUAAAUAACCAUGUUCUAGAAGAAAGGAUGAGGUGUUAUGGAGCCUAGCCCUAAUAGCGACACAUCACUGAUACAAACAGAAGGACAAGAUGCAAACUAAGAUACGGCUUUGGAUUAACGGCAGGCACCUGAUGGAAGAAUAUGGUUCUUUGAAACCAAAUAGUGCUUUGUUCUGUGCUUCACCACAUUUUCAAGAGGGAUAGUGUCAAACUUGCACCCAAAGUUACAAGUUAGGGCAAGGCUGACUUCUGUUCUGUACAAGGAUAAACUUUCAGACAAAGAGCCAUUCACAAAUUUUACAUGGCUUUUCAUGAUAUGUAUAAAUUCAAGAUAUUUGUUGUCUCUAAGAAUACUGGUGAUAUAAAUUGCUUAAGAAGAAUGUUAAAACUAAUCAUUGAUGCUGAGGCUGUAACGUAUUCCUAAGGGACUUUAGAAACUUUAGAGAACACUCCUAAUUUUCCCUUAAGGGGGCAGCACAGUGAAGGUGUAGGAGCAGUGGGUGUGAGGCCUGGAGACCCAGGUUCUUCUGGUUCUGUUUUGAUGAGCUGUGUGCCCUCGGGAAUCCAGUCCGCCUCUCUGGGCUCUACAAAACAAGAGUGUUAAUUGACCCUUCCAGCUUUACAUGUUAUGAUUCUAUCCCCUCUUCCUGAAAAUUUACCAGCACUGCCAUUAAAGCCAGAACGCUGCUCUGUUCAGCUCUUGGUUUGACCGCAGGUGACAGUUUUUAUUAAGUAGCUAUGUCUGCAUUAGCUUUCUCAAUACCCCUUCUCUUCGUUCUUUCCUUUUACCAGUAACAGACACAGCGACAGGUGCUGGGGUUAGAAAGAUGAAAACGCAGCCCUUGACCUUAAAGAGGUCCCCCUGGAAAGGUGAGCCAGCAGAUCAGCUACCUCUAUGCAGUGUGAGACCCACUCUGGAAGAGCUCUGCCUAAAUGCGGAGGGAACCCAGAGGGAGGAACCAGCUCUGAUAAGGAAGGCAGGGAGUGCAGGUCAGGGAAAAUGUCUCUGGGGGAGGUGACACGUGAACCACAUCUAAAGGAUAAAUUGGAAUUAGGAGAAAGGGAACUGUGGGUAAAAGCAUGAAGGCAUGUGGGGGUCCUGUAGGUUGGUGGACCAAAGAGUGGACGUGGUUACCUUGAGAGAACGGUGGUUAGACAGGUGAGCAGGAGGACCCAAGGGCUGAGGCAGUCUUCUGGAGAUGAUGGAGUCCCAGUGGAAGAUUGGAGCAGAUGAAGAUUACUAGGUUGUGCUCUAGAAAGAUCACUGUGGUAACGCCACAGAGAAUGUUGGCAGAUGGGUGUGGAGGUUAUCGUAGCCACCCGGGGGAAAUGAUACCUACUGAAUGAACACAGUGGCCAUGGGAAUGAAGAGGGGGGGGAGCCCAGAACUAUCUGGGAGGUAGAUUAGAGGAGAUGCAGGUAUGUUGGGGAAGUAGACCAACUCCUGGCUUGAGUGACCAGGCAGAUGGCAGUGUCCUUCACUGCAGGAGGAAAUUCUGGAGGAGGAACAGUUUGCAGUGGGGCACACCAUGCUCAUGUUGAGCCCAAGGGCCUAUGGGGGAACUGGCCAAUGGGCAGUUGGAUUCAAGGUCGCAGCAGACCAGUCUGGGCUGGAGAUAGAGAGCUGGGAGUAGGCGGUGACAGAAGCCAGGGGUGGGAAUGAAUAUGCCCCAAGAAUGGCAGAGAGGGACGGGAGAUAGGAAGGGAAUCUGGAGGUUUAGUGGGCAGGAGCAGGAAGAAAAGCCAGCAAAGAGGACCAAGGAAAGCGACCAAAGAGGUAGGAGGCAAUACGGAAACGACUUGUAACCCAGAUUCUGAGGGAGGAGAUGGUUUUAAGACUGUGGGAGAGAUCCACACUGCCAGAUGUUGCAGGAAGAGCAAACAAGGUCAGGCCAGAAAUGAAAACACCAGAUUUGGUCAUUUGGAGAGUCUAGGUGACCCACCUAAGAGCAUUUUCAAGUCAAGGGGGCAGAAGCCAACCUGCAGGGGUCGUAGUGGGACCAGACAGUGAGGGAGGGUAGACUGUGUGUGUGUGUGUUUGUGUGUGUGUGGACAGCCCCAGGCAGCUUCCAUGGCAGCUGUGGGCACUGCCUUCCUGCCUGUUUGCACCUUGGUCCUGUGCCCCCAGAGAAAGAGCAGCCUGACCUGGAGGCCUUCCCACCCUCAUUGUCACCACACCCCUGACAUGAGCCUGCAGUUGAUUUCACGUUACAUGCUCAUGACGCGUCACCCCAUAGGAAUGCAGGGUUCUUCACAGCAGACGCCUUCCCCAUAGCAGCCGUGGAUGAGAUUCCCGGCUGGCUGCAGCAGCCUCUGUGAAGGCGGUGACCACGAUGACCCAAUGCAACCACAGAGGCCUGGGAAACGCUACGUUGGCCCACAUUUGCUUACCGAGCAGGGUUCAGAAGAAGUCAGGGGAGGAACUUUGGUUUUGACUUUGAGGGGACAGAACCAUAAGGCUUGGGCGCCAGCACGGGUUAAGUCUGUUCUGCCAUCAAGGUGCCUCUUGAGCUCCCAGAUGCCUCCAAUAGGCAACAGACUUGAAUGUGGAUUCACUCCGGAAGGAAGGGCCCCACGUUCUUUUUGUUGUUUUUCGGCGCUGAUCCUUGACAAAGCCUGGCAGGGGAGUAACCUCAAUGCCAUUGCCUUUUGACAAGGGAGGACAUCCCAGGGCAGACAUGGAAAGGAACGUCUGCAGUGACAACCUGCUCCCUCCAGUCCUCGGCACGUGACUGGUCACUGAGCUCAGGCCAGGCACUGGGCCGCAAGUUCCAGAACUGGCCUUAGUCAGAUCCCAGACAUGAUGCAGAGGCCUCACUCUUCCUCUCUUCUUUUUCUGGAAACAUCUGGAAACUCCUCUGGGGAGAUCUGCCACAUGGCCUCUGGUGAACUUCAGACUUUCUGUAUAUUCUUCCGAAGUUCCUCGUUUGUUGUAUAUCAUGAGAAAUGACUUUCAUGGUGCACAGAGAGAAGAUCUAAUCUGAGGUCUGGGUGACUGUUGAACACACAGCUCUUCAGGCUCCUGCCAGGCUGUCGUGUCAUCACGCUGCUGUCCUCACACUGCCCUCCGCCCUGGCAGCAGUGGAGGGUUGUCCUGGAGCAUCUUGGGGAGCCAAGGCCACAGUGCCACCCGGCAUGAUGAUGUGGCCCACAGAGCCGGGAAUGGUAAAAGCCUCUCGUCCACGCCAGACACUGUGCUACUCACUGUUUUUCACUCUUCACUGCAUACCUGUAAUCGGAGCGUUGGUUUAUUCCCAUUUCCUGGGAAAGAAAACCGAGGCUCAGAAUGGUUAAGCCUAACAUCUCCAGCCACCAUACCGGUUCUCACCGGGAAAAGAGAAAGCACGCCCACCCUACAGAUUCUUGGAAGUCUGGCUCACUAAUCCCUGAGAAAGCCCCCCGACACCCACAGACCACGCAGAAACCGUAUGACUCCUGCAAGCACUCUGGCCAGAACUGGGGCCUGCCGAGGGGACACGUCAGGAGUCAGGGCGAGCCUGGCUCAGUGGGUGUGCUCGUCACACUGGAUGGCCGAACACCACAGCCUCCCCACAGAAAAAGGGAAGCCAGACAAAAACCGAACAGCUGGACCACAGCAAGCCCUGCCCCAGCGAGGAGCCAGGGCGGGACUCCCUGUGAGAGAUGAGAAGGCCUUCACCCCACCCCCAGCCUCCCCUGGGCACACAGGGCUGGGGCAGGAAUGAGACUGUUUGGUGCUGCCUGUUUGCCCAGGGACCCAGGCUGAAGGCAGCCCACCACUCUGCUAUUUCCUCUCUGAGCCCCAUCCCCCAGCCGUCUGUGAUAUGAGAGCCUGGCCGUGUGCCUGGCAGGCCCUGGCCUGGGCAAGGGGCUGACAGGAAUAGGUAUCUAGGCAAGGAAGGGUGGCACAGAGAAGAGCAUCAGGGGGCCUGGGAGGCCCGGGAGUCCAGGGUGUCAGGCAAGACCCAGUGACUCCCCAAUGUCACACGUCAUGGCAGACCCUGGGCUGUUUUGGUACCUGACAGAAUUUCAUCUCCAUGCUAACGGUGAGGGAAGGGUCUGCUGCACACACCACCAGAGCGAGAAGAUUAUGGAGAAGAGGGUUCUAGAAUUCUCUUAAGCAGCCCUGCCGUCUCCCAGGCCUGUGCUUCCUCAUGUGUAAAAGGACGGUCAGCAGUACUCAAAGCUAUCAAGGGCAUCAAAAUCAAGGCAAAUCUAAGAAACUGCCAGUCUUGAAGACCCCAAGGGACCAUGACGAUAACUAAGUGUAAUGUGACACCCUGGAUGCUAUCCUGGAACAGAAAAAGGACAUUAGGUAAAAACUGAAUCAAGUAUGGACUUUAGUUAAUAAAGUAACAACACUGAUCCAUUAGUUGUGACAAAUGUAGCAUGCUGAUGUAAGAUGUUAACAACAGGGGAAACUGGUGUGAGGUGUAUGGGGACUCUGUGCUAGCUUCAUAGCUUUUCUGUAAAUUGAAAACUCAUACAAAAUAAAACAUUUGUUUAAAAAGAAAAAAAAGAAGAGUCAGCCUUACUGUCUUUAAGCUCUGGGAGCUGAGAAUUUUGUUCUCCUUUACCAAGUGUGGAUUUCUAACACAUCUUUUCAAGUGAUUUGGCAGCAUCUUGGCGCUUUCAAUGAUUAACAAGGGGCUGAUGACAAGUGGUUCCUUACAGGAAGGCCAGCAGGGGUCCUGCCGGGCGCCUGCAGUCCGUGAGACUGUGACAGUGACACAGUGAGCAUAAUGUAGCCACUCUCUGGGGGCACUGACUGUGUGCCAGCUGAGGUACCGCAACCCUGAAGACCAGGUAUUAUUAUACUCUGUUUACAGGUGAGGAAACCAAGGCUCCAGAGGUUAAGUAAUUUGCCAGGGUCAGACCACUAGAAAGUGCCAGAGCUGGCCUUGCCUUCAGUUCUACCUGACUGCAAAGUUCCUAUCCUAACCGCUGCUCAAGAAAUAACGCUGCACUUAUUUUAAUAUAGUUUGUCAUUAAGAAGCUUUCCUGUAUCCCAGCUCAGAGGGUACUGUGUUCCAAACCCACAUACUCCUGAGUUCUAGGAAUCAAAACCCAUAGGCCAGAGCAUGGCUGCGUUCCCAGAACAUCUGUGUGCAGUCUUUGUAGGGACAGGCCUUCCCGCAGCAGCCUCGAGGCUUUCCCAGACUGUCAAAUAUUGGCGACGUCCUGUGUCUCCAGUGGCUUUUGGGACCCUCAUACCUCAGUCAUCCCUGAGAAGGAAAGACGACAAGGAAGGACAGGUGGACCUUGACCCGCUUCCUACCCAAAUCACAGGGCAUGUGGCAGGGUGGAGACGGGACCAAAUCCAGACCAGGGCUGCAGCCGGCAGACCACUGCACGGUGCGACAUUCUCUAGAAGCCGCCUGGGCAGGAAGGCCAGGGUAAUUUAUGUGCAGGGCCAGGUCAACCGCCAAAGGCAUGAAGGGAGAGAAAGUGACCUAUAAGAAUUAGAUAUGGACAUUUAAUACACAUGCAACAGCACAUUCUGAACACAACUGAGGUGAAAUUGUGUCAUGCAAAAUCCACGCCAACCAGAGCCAGCUUGUGCAGAAAUGGGAGCCCCUCCCCUCCUCCCGUCCUCGGCUCAUUCUGUCAUCCCUUUUGCUUCCCACCCAGACUGCAAUCUCAACCUUUCCUUAUUAGCCCCACUUCAUGGUGACCCUGAGUUUCAUCUCCCUUCCCUGGGUGGUUUAAAGAUGCUUUUUCUAUACUAAAGCCAAUGAAUAACAUCUUGUUUGUUACUUUGUAAGCAUUCCCGGGCCUGUCCCAGAUAUGUCUAUUUCAAAACUUCAUCUAAACUAGUUGUAUCAUAGGCUGUGGGUGGGGUGACCAAGCAUCCUAGUUUGCAUGGGACCGUCCCAGGUCUUAGCACUGAGAGUCUCGCAUCCCCAGGGAACCCCUCAGUCCCAGGCAAACUGGGACAGUGGGUUACCUGGCUGUGGAGCCUCUCCUUGGCAAGCACCCCAACCUGUUCAUAGCUAAAGCGGUGUUGUUCAUAAGUGGUGUAGACCCUUGAGUGUGGUCCUUGGAUGGUGGCGACAGCAUCCCCUGGGAGCUUGUUAGAGAUGCAGACUCUCAGGCCACACCCCAGACCUGCUGAAUCAGAACCUGCUCUUUAACACGGUCCCCAGGAGAUUCCCAUGAAGGCUGAAUUCGAGAACAGCUGCUCUACAGCCGUGACUGCCAGCCUUUCUCUGCUGAGAAACACAAUGUGGACAAUGUCCGCUUUCCGGACAUGCUUCCAUCGGGCACCCCCGAUUAGAACUGAGCCCCAGCUUUUGGGAGGCCAGGCAAGCGCUAGACCACUUUUGAAACCAUCCUGACUGGGCAGGCACAGCCUCUCGGGGAAGGCUGCAGCUGGGCCAGGAGGGCCGCAGGUUUGCGUGGUCCUGCCAGAGCCGCCACGCCAGGCUUCUCUCUCUGAGGAUACGAGGGAGAGGAGAGUUGGAGGCCUGGCCUCAAAUCUGCUCUAACUUAUAAAUGUAAACAGAUAAAAGAGUCACAAAUGUUGGCACCUGAACAGUGAUUAGCAGGAAGUUAUAUGUGACGCCUCAUAUCUGAUCUCAGUACCCUGCCCUUCUCGACUUGGGGGUUGAUCAGAAGCCCUCUGGGGCUUGUUUUUUAAAAACAAAAAUGCCAGGGCCACAGCUUGGACCUCCUGAAUCAGGGGAGAGGCCAGGCUGCUAUGAUUUGGGGAAGUCCCCCAGGUGGUCCUGGGACCAGAACCACGAGAGCCUGCACCCUGCUCAGCCUUGCCCUCUCUCUGCCACCCUACCUGUCACCAGAUGAGGAUGCCCUUCCCUCCCGGCACUGGAGGAGGGUGACAGGGACUCCCAGCCCCUGACCGGCACGGGCCAGCGCACUCUUUCUGGGGGUGUGGGCGUGGGGAGAAUGGACUGUAGCAGACUGGACUCGAGAUCUCAGAACCCUCGGGAAGCUCAGACACUGCACGGUGUCUGAAUACAGAAAUGUUGACAGCAAACUGCUGCUUUUCAGGGAUGGAUAUGUUCCUGAAGGUGCCUCGGGGCUGGCUGCCCAAGCCUGGGGGUGGUUUGCUCUGAGUCCUGCAAUCCCUUCGCCCGCAGUUUUCCUCCCACCCACCAUGACUGGACUUUGUGAAGAAUCCGGUCCCUGGCUGUGAAACGUUUUUCUCUUGAAGUACCAAGAAAAUUUCCCCCAGCAGCCUUUGCAGACAUGCCUCUGCCACUGCACCCUCAGGGUCUCUAGUGGGGUGCUUCCAGGGCUGAGCUCUGACCCCAUACACCUCUUCCCUUUAGGCCACCUGCCACUGAGGGAGCUGCCCUGAAGAGCCACCCUUGAGACACAGGGAGGGGACACGGACAAAGAAGACAGGGGUUGAAGAUGUAGGAAGGACCACUGAUGGGCAGUCAGGAAGCCUGCCUUCUGGUCCCUACUUGCCCACACAGUUAUGAGUCGCAUGGCCUUGGACCAUCCCUUCUCCUCUUUGGGCCUCAGUUUCCCCUCCCUGUGACGUGAGAGGGUCCAGAGGGCCUCUGAGCUCUGCUUCAGCUUUACGGCCAUGAUCCUUAUGGACAGGGCUCCCUGUCCACCAAACGGACCAGCAGAGCACAUACGCAGGACACAUGCGUGCAGACGUCCUCUUAGGCUAUGAGUUCUGAGGAGUAUACAUGGGAGGGCUCAUUUUAUCUCCUGUGCUGGAGACGCAGGCCACCUCCUGCACCAGCAACGUUCCCAACACUGGGGAGCAAAGAGUCUCACCACUAAUGUCCUUUCUGUGCCCACUUUGCACAUUUCUCUUUCAACCCUCCCACAAUCUGUGAGGAACUAUCAUUAUCCCCAUUUUGUUUUCGAAGAAAUUUUUAUGUAAGUUUAAACUGUGUCAAAUGUACCAGGUCUGCUGAACUGUGUAAUUUUUGGUCUUUUCCCUGUUGAACUAGAAAUGGGCCAAGUGUGUCAUCAUUUGGCACAUAAGACACCAAGCAUUUGUCCAUCGAGAAUCAACAGAUCUCAACAUGGGACAAAAUUGAGCCUGACUCUUAAAUCUCCGCGAGGAUUUUACUACCUAAUAAAGUUAUCACACAGCUUUAUUGCCUUGAGGGCAAGUUGAACUCUUUUAGAACAGCGGGCACAGACGUGACUCAGUCUGAUUUAGUGCAUCCCCAAACAAUGAAGUCUUGGGGGGUUUUGUGUGUGUGGGUUUCGGUUUUGUUUUGUCAAAAAUUCUGGAGCAUACUCAGCACAAGAUUUUACCUAAAGCUGCUGGAGCAGCAUUAACAUAUAUUCC